rnacentral:rRNA from 1 species
AUACGUAGGUGGCGAGCGUUGUCCGGAAUUACUGGGUGUAAGGGGAGCGUAGGCGGGUACGCAAGUUGAAUGUGAAAACUAACGGCUCAACCGAUAGUUGCGUUCAAAACUGCGGGUCUUGAGUGAAGUAGAGGCAGGCGGAAUUCCUAGUGUAGCGGUAAAAUGCGUAGAUAUUAGGAGGAACACCAGUGGCGAAGGCGGCCUGCUGGGCUUUAACUGACGCUGAGGCUCGAAAGUGUGGGGAGC